CAAGUUUGAAGCGUUAAACGAGAGUGAAUCAGUAUAAAGUUGGCGAUUCAUUCGAAAGCAUCAAAAGUUACUUGAGCAACAAGAAUUAAAAUGAAUUUCAAGUUUUUCAUUGUUUUUGCUGUGGUUCUAUUCUUGGGAAUUACAUUCCAAAUCUCUCCAGUUUCUGCCGGAACGAGCAGCAAUAAUAGCAAUCAAAGGUGUGACCAGUUAUCUGUAUCACAAACAUGCAAAUCUUUCUGUGCACAAAGUAACUACAAAUUUGGAGACUGCGUACGUGGAUAUUGUCAAUGCAACUAAACCAUGAUCGAUAUUAUAAUGUCGUACGUAUAUUGUGAAUUUUUUAACAAAACAAAAUAAAGAGUGUAAUCAACUACAAA